ensembl:lncRNA
UCCCCACCCCAAAAUUCUCAAUUUUACCCUAAAAUUCUCAAUUUUUCCCCAAAAUCCUGAACUCCCACCCCAAAAUUCUCAAUUCUGCCUCAAAAUUCUCAGUUCCCACCCCAAAAUUCUCAAUUUUACCCUAAAAUUCUCAUUUUUCCCCAAAAUCCUGAACUCCCACCCCAAAAUUCUCAAUUUUCCCCAAAAUCCUGAACUCCCACCCCAAAAUUCUCAAUUUUACCCUAAAAUUCUCCCUUUUUCCCCAAAAUCCUGAACUCUACCCCAAAAUUCUCAAUUCUGCCUCAAAAUUCUCAAUUCCCACCCCAAAAUUCCCGAAUUUCUCCCCAAAAGUUCUCAAUUCCCACCCCAAAAUUCUCAAUUCCCACCACAAAAUCCUCAAUUUCUACCCCAAAAUUCUCACUUUCUCCCCAAAAUUCUCAAUUUUUCCCCAAAAUCCUGGACUCUCAUCCCAAAAUUCUCAAUUUUACCCUAAAAUUCUCUCCUUUUUUCCCCAAAAUCAUGAAUUCCCACCCCAAAAUUUGCAAUUCUGCCUCAAAAUUCUCAGUUCCCACCCCAAAAUCCUCAAUCCCCACCCCAAAAUUCUCAAUUCUUGCCACAAAAUCCUCAAUUUCUCCUCAAAAUCCUCAAUUCCCGCCCCAAAAUUCUCUAUUUUACCCCAAAAUCCUCAAUUCCCACCCAAAAAUUCUCAAUUCCUACUCCAAAAUUCUCAAUUUUGCCCCAAAAUUUUAAUUUUCUCCCCAAAAUUCUCAAUUCCCGCCCCCAAAUCCCUUCUAUUCCCCCCCAAAAUUCCUUUUUUAGCCCCAAAUCCUUCAUUUCUCCCUCAAAAUCCCACCCAAAUUAUCCUUUCACUCCAAUCCCCACCCCAAAUUCUCCUUUUCUUUCCCCAAAUCCUUCCCAGAACCCCAAAUUCUCCUUUUCUUCCCCCAAAUCCCCUCCCAGAACCCCAAAUUUUCCUUUUCUUUCCCCAAAUCCUUUUCAGAACCCAAAAUCCCAAAUUCUAACCCCAAAUUUUCCUUUUCUUGCCCCAAAUCCUUUUCAGAACCCAAAAUCCCAAAUUCUAACCCCAAAUUUUCCUUUUCUUCCCUCAAAUCCUUUCCAGAACCCCAAAUUCUCAUUUUCUUCCCCCAAAUCCCAAAUUCUAACCCCAAAUUUUCCUUUUCUUCCCCCAAACCCUUUCCAGAACCCCAAAUUCUCUUUUUCUUCCCCCAAAUCUCCUCCCUGCACCCCAAAUUUUCCUUUUCUUGCCCCAAAUCCUUUUCAGAAUCCCAAAUUUUCCUUUUCUUCCCCCAAACCCUUUCGAGAACCCCAAAUCCUCCUUUUCUUCCCCCAAAUCCCCUCCCCGCACCCCAAAUCCUCCUUUUCUUCCCCCAAAUCCUUCCCAGAACCCCAAAUCCCCUCCCUGAACCCCAAAUCCCCUCAAUCUCCCCCAAAUUCUCAUUUUCUUCUCCCAAACCCCCUCAAACUCCCCCAAAUCCUCUCCCCGCACCCCAAAUUUUCCUUUUCUCCCCCCAAACCCCUCCCAGAACCCCAAAUCCCCUCAAUCUCCCCCCAAAUCCCUGACUUCCACCCCAAAUCUUCAUUUUCUUCCCCCAAAUCAUUUCCAGAACCCCAAAUCCCCUCCCCGCACCCCAAAUCCCCUCCCCGCACCCCAAACCCCCCCGAUCUCCCCGAAAUCCUCCUUUUCUUCCCCCAAACCCUUUCGAGGACCCCAAAUCCUCCUUUUCCUCCCCCAAAUCCCCUCCCCGCACCCCAAAUCCUCCUUUUCUCCCCCCAAACCCUUUCGAGAACCCCAAAUUUUCCUUUUCUUCCCCCAAACCCUUUCCAGAACCCCAAAUUUUCAUUUUCUUCCCCCAAAUCCCCUCCCCGCACCCCAAACCCCCCCGAUCUCCCCCAAAUUUUCCUUUUCUCCCCCCAAACCCUUUCGAGAACCCCAAAUUUUCCUUUUCUUCCCCCAAAUCCCCUCAAGCCCCCCUCCCCUCCCCAUUCCCCUCACGCCCCCUCCCCACCCUCCCCCCGCCCCCAAUCCCCCCCAAACCCCCUCCCAUCCCCCCCAAACCCCCUCCCAUCCCCCCCAAACCCCCCCCAAUCCCCCCCAAACCCCCCUCCCCACCCCAAACCCCCCUCCCCACCCCCUCCCGCCCCCCAAAACCCCCUCAGGACCCCCAAAAUCCCCCCGAUCCCCCCUCAGGCCGGGCCCCGCCGCCAUUUUACCGCGGCCGCUCCGCUCCCCGCGCGCGGGGCACGCCGGGUAGCGCCGCCUACCGGGGGGGAGGACCCGCGCCGCGCGCGCCGUUGCCAGGCGACGCCGCCGCCGUGGCCACGCCCCC